rnacentral:tRNA from 1 species
GCUCUGGUGGCUCAAUCCGAUAGAGCAUUGGACUUCUAAUCCAAAGGUUGCGGGUUCAAGUCCCG